CUCCAGUCAACUUCUCGUUCCAAACUCAUUCUACAUACACUUCGAAGGGAGGCUGAAGAAGCUGAAGGCGAUGUCUGUACAGCUACUUAUUUAUUUGAUGCUUACUUAAUUUGUACUUAUUUUACAUGGGGUAGCAAAAAUUAUGCUGCAAUGCCAUUGUGAGUGCCCCAUUCACACAGGUAGUGUCUAUAGAAAAACGCUAAGGAUAAAAUCAGUGAAUCAAAGUUGUUGGCAUAUAUGCAUUUCUAGAUAUUGUCAAAUUACUUCCCAAUGGAUUCUUCUGACAUCCUUUAUGGACAAUAUAUGAAACAAUCUGUUUUUCUCUGCCUAUGUUAGAUAUCUCUAUUUAUCAAUCUAUUGAUCUAUCAACCUAUUGAGCUACUCAUCUAUCUGUCUGUCUAUCUAUCUAUCUAUCUAUCUAUCUAUCUAUCUAUCUAUCUGCCUAUAUGUCUGUCUGUCAUCAUCUUUAUCACUCAAAUAGGUGAAAAAUUGUGUCUCUAUUGGCUUUUCAUUUUUAUUUCUAUUAUUAAAAGAGAAUUUGGACAUCUUUUCAUAUGUUUAAAAAACAAUGAGUUUUCCUUUCUAUAAAAUAUGUAUAGUGUAACAUAGUUUUUUAUAUACACACACAAUCUGAGUAUCAACUAGUUUUUAGGACUUCAAUAUAUGUUACAAUAGAUCAACAGCUACAAUUCUUGAUAUAAUAAAAGUUACAUUUUUUUUCCUAAUUUGUAAUUGAUCUUUGAACUCAUUUGGUGUCUUUUUUUUUUUGGUUGCAAAGGUGUGUGUGUGUGUGUGUGUGUAUGCAUGUGUGUGAUCUAGCUUUUCACUUAUUUCUUCUCAACUGUGACAUAGUUUUAGGGAGACAUUUCCUACUUUGAGAUUCCAUCACAUUUUAUGCUAGUUCUUUUAUGAUUUUUAUUGAUUUAUGUUAUACUUUCUUGUUCAAAUCAAAAUUACUGUGGUUUAAGUUAUAAAGUAAUGAUUCAAAUGAUUACUUUCCAGUUGGCUAUCCAGCAAUAUUUAUGGAUCAUUCCCAGGGAUGAAAGCACCUGUCAUCAAUCCUAUGCACUAACAUGGACGGGUCUCCACUGGACUCUGAGCUGCGCCCCAGCCAUGACCUUCCUCUCUGUAAGGUGACACUGCGGAGGGUGCCUCAGAGCAGCAUCACUGCUUUGGACACAGCUUGUGCGCCCCAGGAUGGGGUCUACCCAACCUCUCUCUUGGAUCUUGAUUUCCUUCCAGAUUGAGAGCACAGUGGCCACAGCAGUCCCAGCAUUUCUUAAAUCCCGGACUGUCUUGCUUUUUUCAAGGCGAGAUCUGGGGCCCUGCUUAGUCCUUAUUCCCAUUUCCCAGGGCUUUACCGCAGGUCCCUUGAGUUUGGUGCCAUGAGGAUUCCAGGGCCGAUUUCCAACCUGGCAGCAUCUGAAGGGGCUCUGGACCCUUCUGUCAUAUGACCUGAGGCGGAUUUCAGGCAACAGUGGAGUCUGAGAGGGUUGACUCUCUCUAAGACAAGGCAGAACUGGGCACACCCACGGUUAAUCCAAGACAGUGUGGCCCUGUACCUCCUGGGCCCUCCCAAUUACAGCUAAAACAUUGCAGCAUCUCAGAAGCAUGGGGAGUCCCUGAAAGGAAGAAAGAAGGAGGUGGGCACCCUGGAGGCCUCUGCUCAGCACCUUCCAUGAUCAAUCUCUCAGCAUCAGUAUAGUGUGAUGUCCCCAGCACACAUGUGGCAUAGAAGGAAGAUGGUGGGUGCCUCCGCUCAGCACCCUCCAUGAUCAAGCUGUGAGCAUCAGUAUAGUGUGAUGUCCCCAGCACACAUGUGGCACAGAAGGAAGAUGGUGGGUGCCCUGGAGGCUUCUGCUCAGCACCUUCCAUGAUCAAGCUCUCAGCAUCAGUAUAGUGUGAUGUCCCAGCACACAUGUGGCACAGAAGGACACAUGGCAGCCCCACAGCCAGAUCACACUCAAUAGUGAAGGGCUGAGAGCUUUCCCUCUAACAUCGAGAGCAAGGGUAGGCUGCCCUCCACCAAACACACACUUCUAUUCAGCAUCAAAGUGGAAGAGCUGGCCAGAGCAAUCAGGCAAGAAAAGGAAAUAAAAGGCAUCCAAAGACAAAAAGAAGUAGUUAAAUUGUCUGUUUUCUGAUGACAUGAUCUAAUGUAUAGAAAACCCGAAAGACUCCACCAAAAAACUAUUAGAACCGACAAAUAUCUUAUAACAUUUGUUUCUCUUUAGUAAUAGUAUUUAAAUUUCAUAAUUUUCAUAUUAAACUUUUAAUAACAUUUCUGUAUAUUCUAUUGGACUUUUAAUACAGAAUUAUAUGCACUGGAUAAUGAGGGUGUUAUUCCUUUUUGCAAAAGCUGAUAGAUUUCAUUAUUUUUUUCUUCCUUUAUUAAAUGGGUUAGCACUUCAGCAAUGUACAGAAUAAAUGUGAGCAGAGAAGGCAUCCUCAUCUUGAUUGAGUGAGAAAGAUUUCAACAUUUCUCCAACAAAUAUCAUGAUUCCAUUAUUUUGUAUAUACCCUUUCCUUAAGAUGAAGGGUAUUUAAUUAGAUUUUUAGAAUGCUAUUUUAAAAUUAAUUAUGAAUGACUUUUUAACUAUAUCAAUUUCAUUGUUUAAGGAUAUUUGAAUUUAUAUUCAUGAAUGAGUUUGGUCUGUAUUUUAUUAUUAUCACUUCUCUGUCAAGAUCUGGCAUCAGUUUUUUUUUCUGGCAUGUUAAAUUGGUUAGAGUGUAUUUAAUAAUUCUCUGUUGUCUGAAAAAUUUUGUAAAAAAUUGGUAUUAUUCCUUCAUUAAAUAUUUGGUAAAAUUCACUAAUAUAGUUUCUAUGGUCUGCAGUUUUCAUAAUAGUUUCAUUUUAUUUACAAAUU
rnacentral:lncRNA from 1 species